CUAUUAUAUAUAUAUAUAUUCUUUCAAUUCCAUCAAAUACACCAUAUUUUUUAUUCUAACAAUUUUAUCAGUAAUGUCCAACUAUAUUGAUUGAUAUUUCAUGAUAAUUAGAACAAUUCUAUAGAAAAAUAAAUUAGAAUCAUUCGAACGCAUAGUAAGAAAUUUUAACAAUUAAAUUUUUCAUGAAAAAGCGCAACAUAUUACAGGCCUUUUACCCUUCUGAAGUGGCAAUUUGAACAUCUUCACCCCUCCGCUCAAAAGACAUCCCUAGAAUUUCUUUUUCUUCCAAAGGGCAAACUAGUCAAUCUGCCCCUCCCUAUAUUUGCUCUAGUUAACUCUCCCAAGCUUUGAGAACUUAGUAGGCCAUCACCCCAACCAAAUACUGACUUAAACUUCAGAGAAGUUCUCUAAAGUCUCGAGACUCACUCCACCAUGAUCAAACUAGCCCCACGGCUUACUUCCUUCAAAUCACCUUGGUCCCCAAAAAACAUCAUAAGCUCAUCAAUGUAAUGGAGCUUAUUCUCCAUGCAGAAGGGUAAUUCAGAACCUCUACUGUUUCAAAUUGGAUUCACAUGGACAUGACACUAGUCGUCGAGAUGGUUAUUAUGAAAAUGAAGGUUGCUCUUGCCCGGCUGCCUGCACAAAAACCCUUUAACUCCCAUCAUCAGCAUCACAUUUAAUCCAUCUUAAUCUAAUAAAAAAGCAGACAUUUAUUAUACAUGCAAGACUUCAAAUAGUCCCUGCUAUCAAAAGUUCAAAACAUAGGAUAAUAGAGAUACAUAUUAGGUAAUCUGAAUAAAAUAGCCUAGUUAGUUAGUUAGUGUAAAUCCCCACAAAUUUGUCCCCACAUAAAAAAAAGAUAUAAAAUGCUUCUAAAAGGUGAAAUGGCACAGACAACAAAUGUACUUGAUCAUGAGGUUGUCAUCCACUUGACUGGAUCCAACAUUGACAAAUCAAGCAUUCAAGAUUUCCAGUAGCAACAUUUGAAGAAGUAGAGAGCCCAAAGAAUGGCUGUGAAGUUGAGUUUACAGUCCCCACAAUGUAGUCAAGUUUUACCUAUUCCAAGCAAAACCUUUAAGUGGAAGAAGAAAUAAUGGGGGUGAAAAGAAAGGAGAUUAGCUGGACUGAGGACCACAUGCAUAAGCUACUUCUUUUCCAGCAAAGUAAAAAACAAAUUCUGCUGCUAUGCAGCUAUACAUAGUACUCUCAAUGAUACUCUUGUAUUUUAAGGUACCGUAGUUACGGAAAAUCCUACUCUCCCCAUUCUAAAAUUAUAGAUACAUUUCUAAAACGAGAACUCUACUUUUCUAAACAUAUAUCCUUAACAUUUGCUAAAAAUCAGUGAAAUAUAAAAGAUGGCAUGCUAGGAAUUUUACGUGACUUUAUACUCUGAAAAUAAAUUCGUAUCUCAAAUUUUAGAACGGACUAAAAAAGAAAAUAUAUCUCUUAUAGGAUAUUCAGCUUAAGAAACUAAACAUUAGUAAGAAAGAAAACUUUUUUAAUCAGGCCAUGCAUCAUGAACCCUAGAUGAAAUCCACACUUCCCAACAAAAUCCCCUUUCACUUUUUCUCUGACGUGGGCCUCUUCGAUCCAGAGCCCUGAGCAACUGCUCAACAUGACAACUUCCAUUCCACCAAUCCCCUUCUUCUUUCAGCCAACAACUUCUGGAGCCUUGCAGCUCAAGAAUCUUCACUAUCCUUUAUCACAGCCACCCAAUAGUAUAAAUAAUAAAUGCCAACAACAGUUUCAAGCAGAGACACACAUUUUUCCAAAAUAUUUUACCUCUCUAAUUAGAAAUUAAACUAAAAAGAUAUAAUGAUACAAGUUAAACGCCUGCAUCACUUUUUAUCUGUUAUUGUCUUGUUGGUUCAGUUGUCAUGAUCAUCUAUGAGGAAUAGUCCCAUCCCACUACAAAAAUUUCGAAACUCACUCUAUUUUUUCCAUAUCAGAUGGUGAAAGAGGCAAAUGGCAGAUAGAGUGAACUGAAGAAAGAGACUUCUAAUUGAUAAGAUAGUCUGAUAACUACCUCUCUUCUGAUAACCUUCAACAAUAUUGAAUUCCAGUGGCAAUCCAUCAUUGUCCUAGAAAAAAAUCCGUUUUUUACGGUUUACUAACAGCACCUCACAUUUUUAAGUAGGAAAAUUCCACAAAGUUUAUACAAAGCACGAUAAUACAAGUUCAGAAUCUCUACAGGUAUGUUCAAAUAUCACUAUCCUUUUACACAGUAGAAUAUUUUCUAUAUGACGAGGAGAAACUAAUUUUUUUUGAUGAAUAGCUGCUCCUAUCCAAGGUACUAAAAUUUAGAUAUAGGAAAAUUGUUAGGAGUAUAUAUGAAAUUCAUGAAAAAAUAUAUGACCAACUGGUGUCAGGAAAAGAAAUGUAGUGACUUCAGCUUAAAUUCUUCAACUGUCCUGUGGAAUCAACCUACCCAACAAAGAAAACAUAGCAAGGGUUUGUCAUGCAAGAUUAGAAAGCAAUGAUGCUCUCUUAGGAUUCACUAUGUGAUCGCAAUGAUAUGCUGAAAACUAGGCAGUACAGUGGGGGACUAUGAAAGAUAGUGAAUUGUCCUCUGAUCUCUUUAUCAGAAUUGACAGCAUAGAUCCUUACUAUACGUCUUUUUUCACGAUGAGGUUGUGCACAUGAUAAACCACCAGGUGCAUGUAAUACCCACCCAACAACACACACCUGGUAAUCCCAUAUUAAACUAUGUGCGGGUGGCCAUGCCUUUUCAAAGUAUUGAACUCAUCACCUACGCAUUGAAAGGUACUUAUCACUAGACUCACUAUCACAUGAGUUAAUAACCCCUUGGGGUUCUUCCUAUAAUACAACUUCCCAAGUGGAGACUUGAGAUCAGCCAAUUAACAUUUCAGAGAAGAAGCGGACGCAAUAAGCACAGGGAGAACAGCACAAAGCCAUCGUAUAAAAGAGGACCACUUGAUCUGGAGUUCCUGACCUCACCAAUUGUAUAAACUGGUACUUAACUGCAAUCCUAUUUUUGGCUCUAGUAUGUAAAGAUUGAUUAUAAGUUUUACGUUUUUUAGAUACUUCAGUCGAAUAAUUUUUUCUUUUUCGCUAUAGCAGCUUCAAAUGUUCAGGUCUUCAGUGAACCACGUGGAGAUCAUACCAGAUGUCACGAUCAUUUGCAGUUACACUUGGAGGUGCAGCAGGAGCUAUAGCAUUGUUGGGAAUAGUCAUUGGAGUUAUAUGGUUUUGCAUGUUAAAGUGUAAAAAGCUCUCAAACAAGAAUUCAGAUACAGGUUCUUCAGAUCCAUAUGCAGUAGGCAAGGGUUCACAAAAUUAGACAUAAAGAUAACUAGUAUAUAAUUCUAUGUCUAGUUUUGUUAAUUCCUGCUCAACUAUAUUACAGUGGAGAAACAAAAAAGAAGUGGACCCAGUUCUUCUGCAGCCCAUCCUCUAACUGGACCACAUGAAGCAAGCCAAUUCACAAUGGAAGAGUUAGAGCAAGCUACCAACCACUUCGAUGAGAGCAAUCUCAUUGGAUACGGAAGUUUUGGUAUAGUUUAUAAAGGAUUGCUUUGUGAUGGGAUUUUUGUGGCUAUCAAAAGGCGUACUGGUGUCCCUCAACAAGAAUUUGUUGAAGAGAUAUAACAAAUUUAAAUCUGAAAAUCAUUAUCAAAUAUACAUAAUUUAAUAUGGCAUUUUAGCUCAUGAUGUGUAUGUUUAUGUUUUAUUCUGUAGAGAGGUAUUUGUUUAGAAUUUAAAUAUUUCAUGUUUUCUACCGUUGAUCAACUAAAGAUUACAAACAUUUGUUUGAACAAACUCAUCAGCUUGUGGAUCCAAAUAAAAUUAUUCUUAUGAGUGUAUGUAAAAAGGAAAUGAAUCACUUCUACAUUGCCAAGAGACAAGAAAUAAUAACAUAAAAAUCUCCAGCUUUUACCAACAGCUUCUCAAAUCUCAAUUAUCAUUGCAUUGAAAGUCUUUUCUUCCUAGUAUUCUUCAUAAUUCUAAACUUUCCAAUUUGGAAUAACAGGUAGCUUACUUGUCUGGGAUUUGGCACCGAAACCUAGUUUCUCUUCUAGGUUACUGUCAGGACAGCGGAAACCAAAUAUUGGUGUAUGAAUAUUUACCAAAUGGCAGCAUGUGCAGUCAUUUAUAUGGUAUGACUCGUUGAGAGAAGUAGCUCAUAAUUGUAUAUUAGUUACAUGUCAUGUUAUAGAGAUUCAUCGUUUGACAGCCAGUGGAAAAGAUUCAGCAACAAAGCUCAAGUUCAAGCAGAGGCUGUCCAUAGCUCUUGGAGCAGCUAGAGGUAUCAACAAACAAACUGAUUAUGUACCAUGAGAUGAAGAACAGGCCAUAAUUUGAAAAGUUCUUCUGAUGCAGGUUUAUGCCAUUUACAUAGCCAACAAAUUCCUAUAGUGCACCGUAACUUCAAGACAGCAAAUGUUUUGGUUGAUGAGAACUUCAUUCCUAAGGUAGCAGAUACAGGAGUUUCAAGAUUACUAGAGAAAAUUGAAGAUACAGGUCCAAUAUAUCGCUCAACCAGAGUCGAUGUUUUCGAAGAUCCAGAGUAAACUAAUUCUUUUCUUGCUUUAUUAUACUUGCUUUCAAGUUAGUAUUUACCUAUAUUUGAUUUAUCAUCUAUCACAAUGUUUAGGGUAGUUCAAACAGGGAUAUUUACCGAGUUGAGUGACGUGUACAGCUUUGGGGUAUUUCUUUUGGAGCUUAUAAUAGGGCAGGAGGUUUCACAUAUUGAUUCCUGCAGAUCAGAUGGAAGUAUGCUUCAAUGGGUACUGAGAAUAUAUACAUGUAUAUAUAUAUAUAUAUAUAUAUAUAUAUAUCCUCUUGUCCACUUUUGAACAGCUUUUUAAAUUUAUGUAUCCACUUUUAAGUAUGUAGAUGUCAUAUGACAGUACAACACAUUAGGGAAGACUUGUCUGCUCCAUUCUCUAAAAGCAGCUAAAGUUAACACACACACACACACACACACACACACACACACACACACAUAUAUAUAUAUAUAUAUAUAUAUCCUCUUGUCCACUUUUGAACAUCUUUUUUACACCGUCUUUUGUAACAGUCUUAUUAUAUAGGCCAUUGAUUCUUCAAAUUCAUUGUUAUUUCUAAAAUUUGUAAAGGUGGAGACGCACCUAAAUUCAAACAGUAUCACAGACCGCAGGCUUGUCGGGAGCUUCACCGCUGAGGGAAUAAAGGACUUUAUUAGAUUGACACUACGAUGCAUGGCUCUUCCAGGAAAAGGGAGACCAAAUAUGGAAAUGGUUAUGAUAGAUCUUGAAAGAAUUCUUGAGAAAGAGAUCAGGCUCACAACAGUGAUGGGUGAAGGUAGCGUUCAAGUUACUCUGGGGAGCCAACUAUUUACUUGUUAAUAAGAGAAUGAAAGGUCCGGGUCGGGGGAUAAAUCUAUCUGGUGCUAAUUGUAGUCCAGCAAUCAAGAAACUGGUUACCUAAGUCAUGAUCUUCUUCUACUAUUGGUAUUACUGGAAAGACAAGAGGUUCAUUCCACCAUCUUAUUUUAAUUAAUAACGCAAGAUGACAGUACUUAAUUACAUGGUUUUAGUUCAAUGUGUUCAUCUAAUUUAUUCUUUCAGCACAUACUUCUAAUCACUAACAUCAUAGAAAAUACCUGUCUAAAACCGCAAAUGGAACAAAUUAAUGCAAAAGCCCAAGAUUAAAAAGUAAAAUUUAAUAUAUAUAUAUAUAUAUAUAGGUGAUAUAGGACAUAUAACAUAACACACUCUUUCUUCAAUUAAGAUCCUAAACUAUUCAGCUAAUGGGUCCUCAAAAGAUUCAUACAGCACCCUAUUACUAUCGACAAUUUAAAUUAAUAAUUUUUUACACCAACACCCCCACGAAGAUCACAGUGACACCAGCAGCUUAAGGUAAAGUGUGGGAAAUUGAUAAUCAAAACCAAAUAUCUCGUACAUGUAUGCAAUCCAAAGGUACAAAAUUAGCGUUGUAUCAUAAACACCAGAAAGAAGAAAGCAUGAGAACGGAGUAAUUAAGAUUUUGUUUGAGAUUAGCAGUAAUUAUUUAUACAUACCUGAAAGCACAUGAAAAAAAUGAUGAAAGAGUUGCAGAAGCAUCGGCAAGAGGCAUGAAAAAGGAAGUAACCUAGUUACUGAAAAUAUUACCCAAACACGGUCUAAAGUGUAAGUAUUAGCAAUAAACACGUGGAACGUUAUCCAUUUCCGAUUUUGACCUUCCAACUGAAUUUUUUUCCCCUCUUCUUUAAUCACUGGAGCUCUGCUUCGGCCAUAAAGAAAAAAUGG
rnacentral:lncRNA from 1 species